GUCUGCCAAUUACAGAGGGGUCAGCCCCCAAGUAACAUUAGAUGGAGAAGGCAUGGCACACAUACCACAGUGUUCCUAUGCCAGGCCUCUGGCAGACAUCGUUAAUCGAUCAUAGUACUUUCCUGGUGAGCUUAAAGACAGCCUCAGAAACACUCUGAACUUGGCACUCUUGAUAUCCAGUAAAAUAAACUGGAGUUGGCAAGCAAAGUGAAACCUACUUACCAUUUCUAACCUGGCUUAAGUUCUGUUGUGUCUACCUAGAAUAUCAGCACCACCUAGAAAACGGCUCAAAUGAGAGAGAUGCCCAAAUGGUUAUUUCCACACUGAGUUAACACAAUAUUUUCUUUAUCUUACAGCCAGAAGCCAAGAAAGAAACCCUUCUAAACCACAUGGGUUUAGUACAGAGAGAGGAGCAAGGGCUGGGCUUUCAGUUUCAGAUCAGGAUAAAGAGGAUUUUAAAUGAACAGCUGAUAUAUUGCUAUUUCCCAGUAGAUGCUGCUGGCUAUUCUCUUAUCCAAUGAGAAAGAAUGGUCAGGUAGUCAGAUAGUUCCAAUCACAAUCACAUUUCAACUCUACAGAUAUUAAAAACAACUCAUGACUUCAUCCAACCAAGUUUUUUUCUUUUCAUGAACCCACUCGAAGACCAUGGAUAUAAUUAACAAAGAUUCUUCCUUAUGACUGAAGCAAACUGAUUUUUUUUUUUUUGUUCUUUUUUUCAGAGCUGGGGACCGAACCCAGGGCCUUGCGCUUCCUAGGCAAACGCUCUACCACUGAGCUAAAUCCCCAACCCGCAAACUGAUUUUUAAUCUGAGCAGCUUCUAAACCCCAAUUACCUACCUAAGGGACUUUUGCUUUGUUCAAAGAGGGAAGCAGAGGGGAGGUUAACAAUGUCUUUUCUACCUCUUCCCAUAAAUGACCAACAGGCAAGACCAGAGUAUAUGGAGCAUUAACUGGUAUAGAAAACAAUCAACUAAGACAGCUAACUCUUGAGCAGACGCCUGUAAUCCCAGCACCUGGGCAGUGAAAACAGGAACCUAACAGUUCUUGAAGGCCAGUCCGGAAAGAAAAUGCUGCUACCUUCACCGAGUCUUAAUCCACUCUGCUCAGGCAAUUUUGACUAAGCACAUAACGUUCCUGCUUGCCCAUACAUAAAAUGGGUAUAACGAUCUUACUCUAUCACAGGAAUGAGGCCACAUGAAAUAUCAAAAUAGCUUACCAACUGGCCUAUAUAAAAUAGUUCACACAGACUGUUGUUUCUUAUCUCUCCCUUUGCUGUUCUUCAAAGCCUUGGUAUGCCUAAAGAGGUGGUAUCACUACAAUGACGAAAGCUAUGUGGCUCUCUCUGGCCAGAUGCCAACCUCCUUCACUUGCUCACUGAGUUGGAGCCUAAGGGCUCUUCCUCCUGUGACCUUUUGGAGAAGCCCACCCCUUGCAAAAAAAAAGAAAAAAAGAAAGAAAAAGAAAAAGAAAAAGAAAAAAAAGAAAAAAGAGGGUAUCAGAAGAACAUGACAGAGAAGAGCUAAGUUCCUUAUGAUGCAUAUGGCGUUCUUUGGAAGAAAGGCGCAGACGUCAAUCAUCACUAUAGUUAACUAUCGUUUCCACACAUAAUUAUUACUACCACUCCGAACAAAGUUCCAGCUUCCUGAGAACUCCCUUCAGCUGCUUCCCCUGUGCUGUGCUCUGGUGGGAGAAGCAAAGAAGCUUGAAUCACUUCUACUCCUAUUUUCUAACUCUGCCCUCAAAAAACCAACAAGAAGGGAACUAAGUGGAGAAUUUACCCUAGAGAGACCCCAGGCUCUAAGCUGACCAGCCAUGAGGAGCAGGGAGAGAAAAAACUUUCAAUCUUUUCAUGAGGCAUUUGGACAAACAGCAAACUCCCAGCCCUCUCCAGGAGCAGCUGAAGAGGGUGAUUUUCUAUUUUUCUGCAUUUUAAUUGUUGGGAUGUGGCCACACACAGCGGUAAUUGGAACAAUGCAACUACCACCACGCAACUGAUACUCUCAGCCUGGGUUUCCUAAAACAGGCCAGGCUGAGAGGGGCAACAGAACGGAAGCCAUAAGGAAUCAAACCAGGACACAAAAGAAGGCAAACCAGCUCUGCAAGGGGCCUCCUCUUUCUCAAGCAGACAUUUAGAAAAGUGUGAGAAACCCUCUCUGGCGGCCUUCCUUCCCCUUCCAUUUUGUGUAUCGGAGAGGUAGACAGCUCUCAACAUUUCACUAAACAAGUUAAAACUUCUCAGCUGAAUGUUACUGGCACAAGGCUCAACCCUUCACUGAGCAAGCAGGCCGCUCGGCCCUCCCAGUAACCCCACCAGGCCUAACUCUCAGCCCAGGAUCUCCCUCCACCACAACCCCCUAAGAUAACGACUAGACACCCCCCCCCAAUCCUAUUGGAUGGAAGCAACCCCUGACACUUGCGUUUCAGAUAUUUAGGUUGUGUUGAAACCUGGACAACCUAAGAUCCAGUCAGGCCAGGGGAAAAAGAAAGUCACAAAUCCCCUGGGGGCAUUCCCCCAGGUCUCCAGGUCCCACACCUCUGGGAGAAACUGAAGGAAAACAUAAGCGAGGCAGGGAGAUGCAAGAAACGAAAGUGGACGGGCCCAGUUGGAAGCACAUCACGAAGCCCAUAGGGGAAGCCAUGUCGGAUAAAGGAACUGGAAACCACCUUUUUAUUAAGUUUACACCACUAUUACCACCUCCCACCUCAGCCAAAGUUUUAAGUCCUUUUUCAAUAGCCUGAAUGUUGAUGUAAGUAGAGAAGAAAGCCCAUAGAGGUUCCUGCUCUUCGGUAAAUUGGAGGUCUCAGCUGAGAAAAAAAGUUUUCAAUAAAUGCUUUCAUGCGCA